rnacentral:misc_RNA from 1 species
GCUGUUACAAAGGGUAGCUGAGCGCAGUUUUUGGCGAAUCUCAAAAAACAGUCUCAGUUCGGAUUGAAGUCUGCAACUCGACUUCAUGAAGUUGGAAUCGCUAGUAAUCGCGAAUCAGCAUGUCGCGGUGAAUACGUUCUCGGGGUUUGUACACACCGCCCGUCAAACCACGAAAGUUGGCAAUACCCAAAGCCGGUGGCCUAACUUCGCAAGAAGAGGGAACCGUCUAAGGUAGGGUCGAUGAUUGGGGUUAAGUCGUAACAAGGUAUCCCUACCGGAAGGUGGGGAUGGAUCACCUCCUUUCUAAGGAAACAAUUAUCAUCUUCAGUUUUGAGAGACUUAAGAAAGUUUUUCAUUGUAACUUGCUUGCAAAUUGUAUUUGCAACAUUUUAAUCUUUUUAAGAUUAAGGGCCUAUAGCUCAGUUGGUUAGAGCACACGCCUGAUAAGCGUGAGGUCGGUGGUUCGAGUCCAUUUAGGCCCACCA